CAUAUUCUGGGAUGUACGACACGCUGUCUGAGGCCAUGACCAACGAACAGUUCGGCAACCGCUCUGUCGGUUCGUGGUGAGCAAACCCAUAACAAUCGAUGGGCAGCCUGAAGCGGAUCGCGAGCCCGGCCAGUCAGUACAGGCUCAUAGCCUGGGCGCGAUCGGCAUCCCGGAAAACAA
rnacentral:other from 1 species